rnacentral:rRNA from 1 species
UACGGGGGGGGCAAGCGUUGUUCGGAAUUACUGGGCGUAAAGGGCUCGUAGGCGGCCAACUAAGUCGGAUGUGAAAUCCCCAGGCUCAACCUGGGAACUGCAUCCGAUACUGGAUGGCUUGAAUUCGGGAGAGGGAUGCAGAAUUCCAGGUGUAGCGGUGAAAUGCGUAGAUAUCUGGAGGAAUACCGGUGGCGAAGGCGGCAUCCUGGACCGGCAUUGACGCUGAGGAGCGAAAGCCAGGGGAGCAAGCGGG